rnacentral:rRNA from 1 species
GACGAACGCUGGCGGCGUGCUUAACACAUGCAAGUCGAACGGGCCUUGUCCCCUUUUUUUUUGGGGGUGGGGUUAGUGGCGAACGGGUGAGUAACACGUGAGUAACCUGCCCUUCACUUCUGGAUAACGGCUUGAAAGGGUGGCUAAUACGGGGUAUUCUGGCCUGCUCGCAUGGGUGGGUUUGGAAAGAUUCCACGGGUUUUGGUGUCUUUGGUGGGGGAGGGGGUCGGGGCCUUUACGACUGUUGGUGGGGUGGUGGCCUGCCAGGGCUUUGACGUGUCGGGUGCCUGAGGGGGUGCGCGGUCACAGUGGCACUGAGACACGGCCCAGACUUAUAGGAGGGGGAGGAGGGGGGAAUAGGGCACAGUGGGCGAAAGUCUGAUGCAGCGACGCCGCGUGAGGGAUGGAGGCCUUCGUGUUGUGAACCUCUUUCGCGAGUGAAAAAGCUCCUGCUCUUUGUGGUGGGGUUGAGGGUGGCUGGGUUAAUGAAGCGCCGGCUAACUACGUG